AUCCUGAGUACGACGGAGCACGUGAAAUUCCGUCGGAAUCUGGGAGGACCAUCUCCUAAGGCUAAAUACUCUCUAGUGACCGAUAGUGAACCAGUACCGUGAGGGAAAGGUGAAAAGCACCCCGGAAGGGGAGUGAAAUAGAACCUGAAACCGUGUGCUUACAAGUAGUCAGAGCCCGUUAAUGGGUGAUGGCGUGCCUUUUGUAGAAUGAACCGGCGAGUUACGAUUUGAUGCAAGGUUAAGCAGUAAAUGUGGAGCCGUAGCGAAAGCGAGUCUGAAUAGGGCGUUUAGUAUUUGGUCGUAGACCCGAAACCAGGUGAUCUACCCUUGGUCAGGUUGAAGUUCAGGUAACACUGAAUGGAGGACCGAACCGACUUACGUUGAAAAGUGAGCGGAUGAACUGAGGGUAGCGGAGAAAUUCCAAUCGAACCUGGAGAUAGCUGGUUCUCUCCGAAAUAGCUUUAGGGCUAGCCUCAAGUGAUGAUUAUUGGAGGUAGAGCACUGUUUGGACGAGGGGCCCCUCUCGGGUUACCGAAUUCAGACAAACUCCGAAUG
rnacentral:rRNA from 1 species